GCAUCAAUAGUGUAGCGGUUAACAUUGGAUCUUCCCACCGAAUGUACCAGUGCUGUGAGGUCUAGCCCCGGGUUCGACUCCCGGUUGAUGCA